rnacentral:SRP_RNA from 2 species
GCCAGGUGUGAUGGCUCACACCUGUAAUCCCAGCACUUUGGGAGGCCGAGGUGGGUAGAUCACCUGAGGUCAGGAGUUCGAGACCAGCCUGACCAAUAUGGUGAAACCCCAUCUCUA